rnacentral:lncRNA from 1 species
CUAAUUUAAUCUAAGCAUGCAUAAGAUCAAAUCUUAAAACCAUAAACAUGAUCAUCAAUUGUGAGAUAGGAUUUAGAUAUAGAAAUUAAAUAAAAAAAAUAAAUAAAGAACAUAUCUUGGCAUGAGUCGAUCUUCACCACGAAUUGAUGAUCAUGGAUGUCUUCUGAAGAUCCCUUGUAGCCGCACAAGUAUCCGAUCUCUACGGGUAUCCGUACAAGACUUUGAUCUAAUCAGAAAUUUUUUGAUCUCACUAGGUUGCUAGCUCCCUUGCAGAGAUUACAUCUUGAUGGUUGAAAUUUUUUUUUCUCUCAAAAUAAUCUUAGAGAAGAAGAAGAAGUAGGAGGAUGUUGAUCUCUACG